GGCAAGUCGAACGAACUUCCGUUAAUUGAUUAUGACGUACUUGUACUGAUUGAGAUUUUAACACGAAGUGAGUGGCGAACGGGUGAGUAACACGUGGGUAACCUGCCCAGAAGUAGGGGAUAACACCUGGAAACAGAUGCUAAUACCGUAUAACAGAGAAAACCGCAUGGUUUUCUUUUAAAAGAUGGCUCUGCUAUCACUUCUGGAUGGACCCGCGGCGUAUUAGCUAGUUGGUGAGGUAAAGGCUCACCAAGGCAGUGAUACGUAGCCGACCUGAGAGGGUAAUCGGCCACAUUGGGACUGAGACACGGCCCAGACUCCUACGGGAGGCAGCAGUAGGGAAUCUUCCACAAUGGACGCAAGUCUGAUGGAGCAACGCCGCGUGAGUGAAGAAGGGUUUCGGCUCGUAAAGCUCUGUUGUUAAAGAAGAACGUGGGUAAGAGUAACUGUUUACCCAGUGACGGUAUUUAACCAGAAAGCCACGGCUAACUACGUGCCAGCAGCCGCGGUAAUACGUAGGUGGCAAGCGUUAUCCGGAUUUAUUGGGCGUAAAGCGAGCGCAGGCGGUCUUUUAAGUCUAAUGUGAAAGCCUUCGGCUCAACCGAAGAAGUGCAUUGGAAACUGGGAGACUUGAGUGCAGAAGAGGACAGUGGAACUCCAUGUGUAGCGGUGAAAUGCGUAGAUAUAUGGAAGAACACCAGU
rnacentral:rRNA from 1 species